GAUGAACGCUGGCGGUAUGCUUAACACAUGCAAGUCGAACGGUCACUUCGGUGAUAGUGGCGGACGGGUGAGUAACGCGUGAGAAUCUGUCUUCAGGUCGGGGACAACAGUUAGAAAUGACUGCUAAUACCGGACGUGCCUUUGGGUGAAAGAUUUAUUGCCUGAAAAAGAGCUCGCGUCAGAUUAGCUAGUAGGUGGUGUAAGAGACUACCUAGGCUCCGAUCUGUAGCUGGUCUGAGAGGACGAUCAGCCACACUGGAACUGAGACACGGUCCAGACUCCUACGGGAGGCAGCAGUGGGGAAUUUUCCGCAAUGGGCGAAAGCCUGACGGAGCAAUACCGCGUGAGGGACGAAGGCUUUUGGGUCGUAAACCUCUUUUCUCAAGGAAGAUGAUGACGGUACUUGAGGAAUAAGCAUCGGCUAACUCUGUG
rnacentral:rRNA from 1 species